rnacentral:rRNA from 1 species
GUGAGGAAUAUUGGUCAAUGGGCGGGAGCCUGAACCAGCCAAGUCGCGUGAAGGAAGAAGGAUCUAUGGUUCGUAAACUUCUUUUGCAGGGGAAUAAAGUGCAGGACGUGUCCUGUUUUGUAUGUACCCUGAGAAUAAGGAUCGGCUAACUCCGUGCCAGCAGCCGCGGUAAUACGGAGGAUCCGAGCGUUAUCCGGAUUUAUUGGGUUUAAAGGGUGCGUAGGUGGUUUGAUAAGUCAGCGGUGAAAGUUUGCAGCUUAACUGUAAGAAUGCCGUUGAAACUGUCGGACUUGAGUGUAAAUGAGGUAGGCGGAAUGCGUGGUGUAGCGGUGAAAUGCAUAGAUAUCACGCAGAACUCCGAUUGCGAAGGCAGCUUACUAAGCUACAACUGACACUGAAGCACGAAAGCGUGGGGAUCAAACAGGAUUAGAUACCCUUGUAGUCC